UACGUAGGGGGCAAGCGUUGUCCGGAAUUAUUGGGCGUAAAGAGCGCGUAGGCGGUCCGAUAAGUCGGCUGUGAAAGUCAGGGGCUCAACCCUUGAAAGCCGGCCGAUACUGUCGGACUAGAGUCCGGAAGAGGCAAGUGGAAUUCCCGGUGUAGCGGUGAAAUGCGCAGAUAUCGGGAGGAACGCCAACGGUGAAAACAGCUCGCUGGGGGUGUGCUGACGCUGAGACACGAAAGCCAGGGGAGCGAACGGG
rnacentral:rRNA from 1 species